AUUGAACGCUGGCGGCAGGCCUAACACAUGCAAGUCGAACGAGUGGCGGACGGGUGAGUAAUGUCUGGGAAACUGCCCGAUGGAGGGGGAUAACUACUGGAAACGGUAGCUAAUACCGCAUACCAUCGGAUGUGCCCAGAUGGGAUAAGCUAGUAGGUGGGGUAACGGCUCACCUAGGCGAAGAUCCCUAGCUGGUCUGAAAGGAUGACCAGCCACACGGGAACUGCGCAACGGUCAAGACUCCUACGGGAGUCAGCAGUUGGGAAUAUGGCACAAGUGGCGCAAGCCUGAUGCAGCCAUGCCGCGUGUAUGAAGAAGGCCUUCGGGUUGUAAAGUACUUUCAGCGAGGAGGCGUUACUCGCAGAAGAAGCACCGGCUAACUCCGUGCCAGCAGCCGCGGUAAUUC
rnacentral:rRNA from 1 species